UACGGAGGGUGCAAGCGUUGUCCGGAUUUAUUGGGUUUAAAGGGUGCGUAGGCGGCCCGUUAAGUCAACGGUGAAAUCCCGGGGCUCAACCCCGGAACUGCCGUUGAUACUGGCGGGCUUGAGUUCGGUGAAGGCGGGCGGAACUGGCGGUGUAGCGGUGAAAUGCUUAGAUACCGCCAAGAACCCCGAUUGCGUAGGCAGCUCGCUGUGCCGAAACUGACGCUGAGGCACGAAAGCGUGGGGAGCGAACAGG
rnacentral:rRNA from 1 species